UGUACCAUUUUGCUUCUUCUCCAUCUCUCAUGUGUGAUUCCUUACAGACCCAGGUUGGUUCUUCUCCAAUGUCUCUUCUUGGAGUUAUACCUGGUUCUAUUGCC